GGCCCGAGGCCUGCCCACGCUCGGUGGGAGCGCUCUCGGGUACGCCCGGCGCCCCCUUGCUGGCUCUGCUUAGAGGCUGGGUGUUCUCGGACUCUGGGAGGAGUGGGUGGGGCAGGCCCGGUGCAAACAGCAUCUACUUGAAAUAGAGAAGACACCAGCUGGGCGCAGUGGCUCAUGCCUGUAAUCUCAGCACUUUGGGAGGCCAAGGUGGGCGGAUCACCUGACAGGGUUGGGAGUUUGAGACCAGCCUGACCAACAUGGAGAUACCCCGUCUCUACUAAAAAUACAAAAUGAGCCGGGCGUGGUGGCACUUGCCUGUAAUCCCAGCUACCAGGGAGGCUGAGGCAGGAGAAUUGCUUAAACCUGGGAGAUGGAGGUUGCGGUGAGCUGAGAUCGUGCCAUUGCACUCUAGCCUGGGCAACAAGAGUAAAACUCUGUCUUAAAAAAAAAAAAAGAAUACAAAUAAGUGUACAUAACUGAAUGAAUUUUUACCUAAUGAACAUCCGUAUAACCAGCAGCCAGACCAAGAGAUUGAAUAUUACUAGCACCCUGCCCCCCACGCUCCCUUCCCUUCAGUGAGAAUCACUGCCUUGCCCUGUCUUCCUACACCGAAGAUCAGUUUUGCCUCUUUUUAUUAUAUUGCAUGUACUCUUUUGUGUCUUCCUGCUUUUACUCAACAUUAUGAGACAAGAAUAAUCCAGGGUGGCCACAGGAGAAUUAAAUUCUGGGCAGUAGUUUCACAUGACUAGAGGCUAUGGACUUAUAAGACCCUGAAACCCAGGAUGUGGGUCAAACUGGCUGAGACCAACUGGACCCAACAUGGCACUGGAUGUGACCAGGUUUCUCCUAGGACCUCAAUAUACACUCAUUAAUAUCCUAAACACACACCCACCCGUGUCUCGACAGUUCCAAGAACACCCAGGUUUGAUGUAAAAAUGGGUGGCACCACAGUUCCAAGAAAUCUCCACCUUUUCCCAGGAAUGUUCAUGAAUAUCCCAGUCCUUGGUUAAAGAAACCUAUAGAGGUAGCAACCUCAAACCCCCUUACACGUGACUUUUGAGUCCGCCCGCAUUCCCUUGAGUGUGUACUUUUCCCUUUGCAAUAAAUCACUGUGCUUUCACUAUUUUCUGACUUAUCCUUAAAUUCCUUCUCACGACAGUGUCAAGAGCCUGGACACCAGCUGGGGUUGAGGUCCCAUUGGUGUUUGGGGAUCUCUCCCAGCCCACGGGUAUCAAUUAUAUUUGUGA
rnacentral:lncRNA from 10 species